ACUGCUCAGUAACACGUGGAUAACCUGCCCUUGGGACCGGCAUAACCCCGGGAAACUGGGGAUAAUUCCGGAUAACGCAUAUUUGCUGGAAUGCUUUAUGCGUCAAAAGGAUUCGUCUGCCCAAGGAUGGGUCUGCGGCCUAUCAGGUUGUAGUGGGUGUAAUGUACCUACUAGCCAGCGACGGGUACGGGUUGUGAGAGCAAGAGCCCGGAGAUGGAUUCUGAGACAUGAAUCCAGGCCCUACGGGGCGCAGCAGGCGCGAAAACUUUACAAUGCGGGAAACCGUGAUAAGGGGACACCGAGUGCCAGCAUCAUAUGCUGGCUGUCCGGAUGUGUAAAAUACAUCCGUUAGCAAGGGCCGGGCAAGACCGGUGCCAGCCGCCGCGGUAACACCGGCGGCCCGAGUGGUGAUCGUGAUUAUUGGGUCUAAAGGGUCCGUAGCCGGUUUGGUCAGUCCUCCGGGAAAUCUGAUAGCUCAACUAUUAGGCUUUCGGGGGAUACUGCCAGACUUGGAACCGGGAGAGGUAAGAGGUACUACAGGGGUAGGAGUGAAAUCUUGUAAUCCCUGUGGGACCACCUGUGGCGAAGGCGUCUUACCAGAACGGGUUCGACGGUGAGGGACGAAAGCUGGGGGCACGAACCGGAUUAGAUACCCGGGUAGUCCCAGCCGUAAACGAUGCUCGCUAGGUGCCAGGCAUGGCGCGACCGUGUCUGGUGCCGCAGGGAAGCCGUGAAGCGAGCCACCUGGGAAGUACGGCCGCAAGGCUGAAACUUAAAGGAAUUGGCGGGGGAGCAC
rnacentral:rRNA from 1 species